rfam:Pseudozobellia thermophila strain DSM 19858 genome assembly, contig: Ga0070581_103
GGGGCCGACUGGUUUUGACAGCGAGACCAAUGGCAAUGUAAGCAUGCCGAGCGCUGAGGUACAGCUCGUUAAUAUCAUACUUCACACUUUUUAAUUGGCGAAUCUAAUUACGCUCUUGCCGCGUAACCCGAAUUACAGUAAGGUUAUGCCUCGUUCCGACAAGGUCGGAAAGCGAGAUGUCUCUGAACAGCCCUUGUUGACGGCGGUUCAUUAAGAGGCACCAUAAAAGUCAACACAAGGGCAGCGUAGCUUCGGCGUUGCCACCAAAACCUUAAGAAGCUAAGUGUAUGUUAGGCCGUUUCCGGCCGGGCAUGCAUCGAAAACCAAGCGGAAACUAAGCAUGUAGAAAGCAUUGACGUUGCUUGUUUGGACGAGGGUUCGAAUCCCUCCGGCUCCACGA